rnacentral:rRNA from 1 species
CGNUAGGUGAACCUGCGGAAGGAUCAUUAACGAAUCUCACAUGGGGGGUUUGCUGCUGCCGCGAGGUGUGCACGCCCUUCGAUUCAACACAUCCACCUGUGAACCUUCUGCGCGAGACGAAGUCGAGGUGGCUGGGGGUGAAAACCCCCUCCCCUCUUCGCCCGGCUCGCGUUUAUCACACAAACACCGUUUAUAACAAGUCUAAGAAAGUCCACGGUCGUAGCGGACCAUAAACGUGUCUAAUACAACUUUUGACAACGGAUCUCUUGGCUCUCGCAUCGAUGAAGAACGCAGCGAAAUGCGAUAAGUAAUGUGAAUUGCAGAAUUCAGUGAAUCAUCGAAUCUUUGAACGCACCUUGCGCCCCUUGGUAUUCCGAGGGGCAUGCCUGUUUGAGUGUCAUUAAAUUCUCAACCGCCCUCGGUUUUGUUAUCGAAGCCGCUGGGUCGCGUUGGAACUUGGGGGCAAGUGCCGGUGGCUCGCGCCGUCGGCUCCCCUUAAAAGCAUUAGCGACGAACCUCCGCAGGAUCGCGCACUCGGUGUGAUAGACUAUCUACGCCGUCGUGCCAUCCCGCGCGCCAUCGCGGCGCGCAAAGAGGUUUCUGCCCCAAAGCGGUCGCUCACAGCCGUCUCGCCUUAAAAAAGCGGACAGCGCUUCGGCGCUCAGCACAUCACAACUUGACCUCAAAUCAGGUAGGACUACCCGCUGAAC